UACGAAGGGGGCUAGCGUUGCUCGGAAUCACUGGGCGUAAAGCGCACGUAGGCGGCUUUUUAAGUCAGGGGUGAAAUCCUGGAGCUCAACUCCAGAACUGCCUUUGAUACUGGGAGCUCGAGUCCGGGAGAGGUGAGUGGAACUCCGAGUGUAGAGGUGAAAUUCGUAGAUAUUCGGAAGAACACCAGUGGCGAAGGCGGCUCACUGGCCCGGUACUGACGCUGAGGUGGCGAAAGCGUGGGGAGCAAACAGG
rnacentral:rRNA from 1 species